CUGGAUAUGGUGCAGCUUGGUGGCACGCUACCUUUGGGCGGUAGAGGUCGGGGGUUCGAAUCCCUCUAUCCAGACCA
rnacentral:tRNA from 1 species